GGGGGUGACAUGUGCACACACAUGACACACACACGACACACACACACUCUCACACAAUUGCCGGGGAGGUUCUCCAUGUCGAUUAGUCAUCUACAGCAGAGUAUUGAAAAGGGCUCCAUUUGAUUUGCUUGCGGCUGAUUCUCUCCUUGUGGCAAACAAACUUUGCUUCCGUCUGACGUUGCCUGAUGUGGAGGGAGGUUCAAGGAAAAGACUUUGGCUCAGGGCUUUUCAGGCCCCCCUGCUGUCUCCCAACACCCUGACCAUGAGACCUCACUCCACUACAGCCGCCCCCAUGUUGUUUCCUGCUGUGGAUAAGUGCGCCUGUUCCCCAUGUGGCAUCGCAGCACUGUAUGACUGAGUUAUGUGUGUGUAGUGUUUGUGUGCAAGUGCAUCCGUCUAUGCCUGUGUGCACAUUCACGUAAAAAUUGGUGGGUUCAGAGCAAGGUUAUUAUAGUUUUGUGAUUUUCUAUUCAUUUUUAAUUUCUACUCAUUUUUAGAUUUACACUACCAUUCAAAAGUUUGGGGUCACUUAGAAAUGACCUUGUUUUUGAAAGAAAAGCACAUUUUUUGACCAAUAAAAUAACAUCAAAUUGAUCAGAAAUACAGUGUAGACAUUGUGAAUGUUGUAAAUGACUAUUGCAGCUGGAAUCGGCAGAUUUUUGGGGGGAAUAUCUACAUAGGCAUACAGAGGCCCAUUAUCAGCAACCAUCACUCCUGUGUUACAAUGGCACGUUGUGUUAGCUAAUCCAAGUUGUUCAUUUUAAAAGGCUAAUUGAUCAAUAGAAAACACUUUUACAAUUAUGUUAGCACAGCUGAAAACUGUUGUCCUGAUUAAAGAACAAUAAAAUAGAAAGAGGAGUGGGAGGCAGGCAUCCCGGAGUCGCCUCUUCACUGUUGACGUUGAGACUGGUGUUUUGCAGGUACAAUUUAAUGAAGCUGCCAGUUGAGGACUUGUGAGGCGUCUGUUUCUCAAACUAGACACUCUAAUGUACUUGUCCUCUUGCUCAGCUGUGCACGAGGGCCUCCCACUCCUCUUUCUAUUCUGGUUAGAGCCAGUUUACACUUUUCUGUGAAGGGAGUAGUACACAGCGUUGUACGAGAUCUUCAGGUUCCUGGCAAUUUCUCGCAUGGAAUAGCCUUCAUUUCUCAGAACAAGAAUAGAGUGACGAGGUUCAGAAGAAAGUGCUUUGUUUCUGGCCAUUUUGAGCUUGGAAUCAAACCCACAAAUGCUGAUGCUCCA
rnacentral:lncRNA from 8 species